rnacentral:sRNA from 1 species
GAGCGAUCAUAAGGGAGCUGACUGCAAAUCUGCCGUCAUCGACUUCAAGGUUCGACUCGAGCAAUAGUGAGAGAACGUUGCCGCAGGCAACGGCCCGGAGGGUGAGGAGCUUUAGCUCCGAAUAAUCCUUCCCGCUAUAGAA